CAACGAGGAGGUGACUCAGCCCUUUCAGUACAUGUUUCCGUGUUCCCAGCUGCUGUAGGAAAUAAACAGAUCCAGGAGUCCUUACGGGUAGUUCCACCCCACCUCCCCAGGAGAGAUCCAUUGCCCAGGCAGCCUGGCUCUGCUCUUUGCAGGAGAUGGGAUAUAUCAGGAAGGCCCAAAGGUUGAAAAUGAAGUCAGGGGAGAACAAGCGGGGUCCUACAUGAGCUGAACGGCUCAGCAAUGCACCAGAACCCCAGGGAAACCCUUGGUGUGGAGGUGGUGCACAUUUUUAAUGCACAAUGCCAACUUUCCUCUGUGAUGACCCUACCUGAGGAUUCCUUCAGGCAGCUGGGCAGUGUUGUGGCCAAUAAGGAGGUGAGGUCCUGGAGAGGAGAGCCCAGCGGCCAGCCUCUGAGCUGGCACACCAGGCGGGUGUGCUACACCCUCCUCCAGUGCUGAGGAAUGCUUCCUCACAGCUCAUCACCACGAAGGUUUUGGUAUGUGACUCGUGGGGGUCUGGGAAUUUGGCUGCCCCUGGGCCAUGGUGUCUGAAGCAUGGGGCUGAACAAUUGGUGUGCAUGCACUCUGUGGCCACUCGGAAAAUGCUGCUGGCUGAGCCAAAUUCCUUCCUGCAACUUGCAUGCAAAGAAGCCACUAAUUUCACCAGCAGUUGAAUGUGCAUAUCUGAGGGCAGAAUUUAUCCAGAAGCCUUUGGGCAGAAGUUUUUAGCAUAACCACCCAGAAAAAAAAAAAAAGAUGGGGAAUCACAAGUGGAAUUUUGCAGAGAAAGAAGAAGGAGGGGGGAGAAGGGAAUCAAAGCGUUGAAAAGCUUUUCCACUAACACAACUCUUCUCAGUUCUUUAAACAGCACAAUGGCUAUUGAUGGAUAAAAAAUAAAACAGGACGGCAUAUCCUCUUGAAUUUAUUCUGGUCCCAAUGGACAGCCCCUGGCAUUUUUUUCGGAAGAAACUUUUGAGUAAACACUGUCCAACGUGGAAAGACACAUAGCAUGUCAUAAAAAUCAUUUGUAAUAUGUUCUGGGAGACACACCAAUGCUGUCAGGGCCGGGGAGCUGCUUAGCUUCACUUUGAUUUACAGAUAAAUACAGUGUGUCUGGGGCUCCCAGUUGCUGACUGCACGGGCGAGCUCCCGAUUACGUGCUGUGCUCAAACUCCGUGGGAUUAAUUGGGACCACCUGGAAGUGUGGCAGCAGGCUUGACCUUCCUGAUUGUGCGGGGCUGUGCACACUGAGGAGCUGCACUUGUGUGGAAAGAUGGGGCUCAGCUUCUCCCAUUGGGGGUCUGGGGACCUAGAGUAACCUGGAGAGUAAAGGAGGUGUGUUGCAAAGUCAGGAUUUUCUGCGUAGUCUCAUGUAAGACAGCUCUGAGUGUUGGAUGUGGAUAUAUCUCCCUGUUCUUUAAGCAUGAUGCAUACUGUAGUGUUUUUAGGGUGUAAAUCUUUGGGGUUUCUGCAGGUUAUUGAGGUGAAGAACGUCAGCAGGUGCCCAAUGAGAUAUUCUGAUGUUUUCUAUGACACGAUAAACAAUCUGCGAACGCUUUUGCUCUUUAAGUCCACGGUGCAGGAAAAGAAAUGUGGGGGUGGAGUGGCCCGGAGGAAGAGAGGAUGGGGUUUUAUGGAAAUACCAUAGCAGCAGGUGAUUCCAUUUGGGUGAUGCAGAAGUUCACGCUGGCCCUGGUGAUUUUAUUGCUUCGCUGGCUUCUGUGCAAAGGUAAUGCAUGCAGAACGAUUAGCUGGGCUCUGAUAGUCAUUAAUUACUUGGCUUUCCCUCUGGAAAUGGCAGGCACUUUUCACAAGGCCUUUGUAAGUUAACAAAGGGGCCGCAAUACAGGAGGAACAUGUUUCAAGUGUAAGUAAACACUAGUUUUUGGUACGAGGUUGGUUGGGGAGAAAGGUUGGAACUUGUGGGAAGGAGCAGGGCAGCCUGGAGGAUGUGCCAUGGAAAACAGCUUUGCACUGAGAAGCUUUUUUUAUAUGUCCCAGCAAGGAUAUGAAAAAACGUACAAGUGGAUCUGCUGGAAGGGUUAUAAUAUUGAAGAGAAAACCUCAUGUCCUGCAGAUGGAAAGAGAGGAUAAUAAGCUCUCUGUGUGCAUGUGGAGAACAGGGGUGAGGUGAAAUUACCUUGUAAGAGCAAGAGCUGCUUACAGGUGAUAUUUCACCACACCAUUUUACAUUGCUCACAUGGUACAGGCCAGUUGUGCACAGGAACAUGAUGGCAUGAGCACUUGCCAGCAAAGAGGAGCUGUUCAUCUUCUGGCCAGGACUUGGUUUCUGAACCUAGCUCUGUGUGCUCCCCAACAUGCAGCAGGUGUGGAUCCUGAUCUCUACCUUGCUGUGGUCUCUGAUUUUUUGCUUGCAACUGUUGUCUCCUGCUCCUGGUUUCUGCGGUUUGCACAUGAGUACGCAGUGAUGGGGACGUGGUGCCUCUGUGCUUUCCCAGGCAGGAGCCAUGCGCUGAGGCCAGCG